GGGUUGUGAGGUUAAGCGACUAAGCGUACACGGUGGAUGCCCUGGCAGUCAGAGGCGAUGAAGGACGUGCUAAUCUGCGAAAAGCGUCGGUAAGGUGAUAUGAACCGUUAUAACCGGCGAUGUCCGAAUGGGGAAACCCAGUGCAAUUCGUUGCACUAUCGUUAACUGAAUACAUAGGUUAACGAGGCGAACCGGGGGAACUGAAACAUCUAAGUACCCCGAGGAAAAGAAAUCAACCGAGAUUCCCCCAGUAGCGGCGAGCGAACGGGGAGCAGCCCAGAGUCUGAAUCAGCUUGUGUGUUAGUGGAACGGUCUGGAAAGUCCGACGGUACAGGGUGAUAGUCCCGUACACCAAAAUGCACAGGCUGUGAACUCGAAGAGUAGGGCGGGACACGUGGUAUCCUGUCUGAAUAUGGGGGGACCAUCCUCCAAGGCUAAAUACUCCUGACUGACCGAUAGUGAACCAGUACCGUGAGGGAAAGGCGAAAAGAACCCCGGCGAGGGGAGUGAAAAAGAACCUGAAACCGUGUACGUACAAGCAGUGGGAGCACCUUCGGGUGUGACUGCGUACCUUUUGUAUAAUGGGUCAGCGACUUAUAUUCUGUAGCAAGGUUAACCGUAUAGGGGAGCCGCAGGGAAACCGAGUCUUAACUGGGCGUUAAGUUGCAGGGUAUAGACCCGAAACCCGGUGAUCUAGCCAUGGGCAGGUUGAAGGUUGGGUAACACUAACUGGAGGACCGAACCGACUAAUGUUGAAAAAUUAGCGGAUGACUUGUGGCUGGGGGUGAAAGGCCAAUCAAACCGGGAGAUAGCUGGUUCUCCCCGAAAGCUAUUUAGGUAGCGCCUCGUGAACUCAUCUUCGGGGGUAGAGCACUGUUUCGGCUAGGGGGUCAUCCCGACUUACCAACCCGAUGCAAACUACGAAUACCGAAGAAUGUUAUCACGGGAGACACACGGCGGGUGCUAACGUCCGUCGUGAAGAGGGAAACAACCCAGACCGCCAGCUAAGGUCCCAAAGUCAUGGUUAAGUGGGAAACGAUGUGGGAAGGCACAGACAGCCAGGAUGUUGGCUUAGAAGCAGCCAUCAUUUAAAGAAAGCGUAAUAGCUCACUGGUCGAGUCGGCCUGCGCGGAAGAUGUAACGGGGCUAAACCAUGCACCGAAGCUGCGGCAGCGACACUAUGUGUUGUUGGGUAGGGGAGCGUUCUGUAAGCCUGCGAAGGUGACCUGUGAGGGUUGCUGGAGGUAUCAGAAGUGCGAAUGCUGACAUAAGUAACGAUAAAGCGGGUGAAAAGCCCGCUCGCCGGAAGACCAAGGGUUCCUGUCCAACGUUAAUCGGGGCAGGGUGAGUCGACCCCUAAGGCGAGGCCGAAAGGCGUAGUCGAUGGGAAACAGGUUAAUAUUCCUGUACUUGGUGUUACUGCGAAGGGGGGACGGAGAAGGCUAUGUUAGCCGGGCGACGGUUGUCCCGGUUUAAGCAUGUAGGCUGAUUGUCCAGGCAAAUCCGGAUAAUCAAGGCUGAGGUGUGAUGACGAGGCACUACGGUGCUGAAGUAACAAAUGCCCUGCUUCCAGGAAAAGCCUCUAAGCAUCAGGUAACAUCAAAUCGUACCCCAAACCGACACAGGUGGUCAGGUAGAGAAUACCAAGGCGCUUGAGAGAACUCGGGUGAAGGAACUAGGCAAAAUGGUGCCGUAACUUCGGGAGAAGGCACGCUGGUGUGUAGGUGAAGUCCCUGCGGAUGGAGCUGAGACCAGUCGAAGAUACCAGCUGGCUGCAACUGUUUAUUAAAAACACAGCACUGUGCAAACACGAAAGUGGACGUAUACGGUGUGACGCCUGCCCGGUGCCGGAAGGUUAAUUGAUGGGGUUAUCCGUAAGGAGAAGCUCUUGAUCGAAGCCCCGGUAAACGGCGGCCGUAACUAUAACGGUCCUAAGGUAGCGAAAUUCCUUGUCGGGUAAGUUCCGACCUGCACGAAUGGCGUAAUGAUGGCCAGGCUGUCUCCACCCGAGACUCAGUGAAAUUGAACUCGCUGUGAAGAUGCAGUGUACCCGCGGCAAGACGGAAAGACCCCGUGAACCUUUACUAUAGCUUGACACUGAACAUUGAGCCUUGAUGUGUAGGAUAGGUGGGAGGCUUUGAAGCGUGGACGCCAGUCUGCGUGGAGCCAACCUUGAAAUACCACCCUUUAAUGUUUGAUGUUCUAACGUUGGCCCCUGACCGGGGUUGCGGACAGUGUCUGGUGGGUAGUUUGACUGGGGCGGUCUCCUCCCAAAGCGUAACGGAGGAGCACGAAGGUUAGCUAAUCCUGGUCGGACAUCAGGAGGUUAGUGCAAUGGCAUAAGCUAGCUUGACUGCGAGCGUGACGGCGCGAGCAGGUGCGAAAGCAGGUCAUAGUGAUCCGGUGGUUCUGAAUGGAAGGGCCAUCGCUCAACGGAUAAAAGGUACUCCGGGGAUAACAGGCUGAUACCGCCCAAGAGUUCAUAUCGACGGCGGUGUUUGGCACCUCGAUGUCGGCUCAUCACAUCCUGGGGCUGAAGUAGGUCCCAAGGGUAUGGCUGUUCGCCAUUUAAAGUGGUACGCGAGCUGGGUUUAGAACGUCGUGAGACAGUUCGGUCCCUAUCUGCCGUGGGCGCUGGAGAAUUGAGGGGGGCUGCUCCUAGUACGAGAGGACCGGAGUGGACGCAUCACUGGUGUUCGGGUUGUCAUGCCAAUGGCACUGCCCGGUAGCUAAAUGCGGAAGAGAUAAGUGCUGAAAGCAUCUAAGCACGAAACUUGCCCCGAGAUGAGUUCUCCCUGAGACUUUAAGUCUCCUGAAGGAACGUUGAAGACGACGACGUUGAUAGGCCGGGUGUGUAAGCGCAGCGAUGCGUUGAGCUAACCGGUACUAAUGAACCGUGAGGCUUAACCUUACAACGCCGAAG
rnacentral:rRNA from 1 species